rnacentral:rRNA from 1 species
UACGGGGGGGGCAAGCGUUGUUCGGAAUUACUGGGCGUAAAGGGUUAGUAGGUGGCCAACUAAGUCAGACGUGAAAUCCCUCAGCUUAACUGGGGAACUGCGUCUGAGACUGAUUGGCUCGAGGACAGGAGAGGAACGCGGAAUUCCAGGUGUAGCGGUGAAAUGCGUAGAUAUCUGGAGGAACACCGGUGGCGAAGGCGGCAUCCUGGACCGGCAUUGACGCUGAGGAGCGAAAGCCAGGGGAGCAAACGGG